UUAAACGUCCAUACCACGUUGAAUACACCGGUUCUCGUCCGAUCACCGAUAUUAAGCAACGUCGGGCGCGGUUAAUUUUUACG
rnacentral:rRNA from 1 species